AUAACAAUUAAAAUAUAUAUGAAAUAGUAUUUUAUCAGUUUCAUGUCAUAAGUUUGAGAUAGCCUACAUCAACUCACAGAAGAGCAAGAACCGUGAGAAGAGUAGGAGAAACAGAGGGAAAUGGAGAGCCGAGAAGAACGAUCUCGCACAUCCAGACCACAGCUGGUAAAACAGGAGAGCAUUGACAAACGACCAAAUUUUUCUCAUGAUUCUGGUGGUCCAGAGCAGUGUCAAACUGAUAUAUCUGAAGAGGUCCAUGAUAAGAAAACUACAACACAGUAAAGAACAAGAGAACGUGACAGUAGUGACGUCAUCUACUCACAGAACUUGGAAC